UAAGUGGGAAACGAUGUGGGAAGGCCCAGACAGCCAGGAUGUUGGCUUAGAAGCAGCCAUCAUUUAAAGAAAGCGUAAUAGCUCACUGGUCGAGUCGGCCUGCGCGGAAGAUGUAACGGGGCUAAACCAUGCACCGAAGCUGCGGCAGCGACGCUUAUGCGUUGUUGGGUAGGGGAGCGUUCUGUAAGCCUGCGAAGGUGUGCUGUGAGGCAUGCUGGAGGUAUCAGAAGUGCGAAUGCUGACAUAAGUAACGAUAAAGCGGGUGAAAAGCCCGCUCGCCGGAAGACCAAGGGUUCCUGUCCAACGUUAAUCGGGGCAGGGUGAGUCGACCCCUAAGGCGAGGCCGAAAGGCGUAGUCGAUGGGAAACAGGUUAAUAUUCCUGUACUUGGUGUUACUGCGAAGGGGGGACGGAGAAGGCUAUGUUGGCCGGGCGACGGUUGUCCCGGUUUAAGCGUGUAGGCUGGUUUUCCAGGCAAAUCCGGAAAAUCAAGGCUGAGGCGUGAUGACGAGGCACUACGGUGCUGAAGCAACAAAUGCCCUGCUUCCAGGAAAAGCCUCUAAGCAUCAGGUAACAUCAAAUCGUACCCCAAACCGACACAGGUGGUCAGGUAGAGAAUACCAAGGCGCUUGAGAGAACUCGGGUGAAGGAACUAGGCAAAAUGGUGCCGUAACUUCGGGAGAAGGCACGCUGAUAUGUAGGUGAAGUCCCUCGCGGAUGGAGCUGAAAUCAGUCGAAGAUACCAGCUGGCUGCAACUGUUUAUUAAAAACACAGCACUGUGCAAACACGAAAGUGGACGUAUACGGUGUGACGCCUGCCCGGUGCCGGAAGGUUAAUUGAUGGGGUCAGCGCAAGCGAAGCUCUUGAUCGAAGCCCCGGUAAACGGCGGCCGUAACUAUAACGGUCCUAAGGUAGCGAAAUUCCUUGUCGGGUAAGUUCCGACCUGCACGAAUGGCGUAAUGAUGGCCAGGCUGUCUCCACCCGAGACUCAGUGAAAUUGAACUCGCUGUGAAGAUGCAGUGUACCCGCGGCAAGACGGAAAGACCCCGUGAACCUUUACUAUAGCUUGACACUGAACAUUGAGCCUUGAUGUGUAGGAUAGGUGGGAGGCUUUGAAGUGUGGACGCCAGUCUGCAUGGAGCCGACCUUGAAAUACCACCCUUUAAUGUUUGAUGUUCUAACGUUGACCCGUAAUCCGGGUUGCGGACAGUGUCUGGUGGGUAGUUUGACUGGGGCGGUCUCCUCCUAAAGAGUAACGGAGGAGCACGAAGGUUGGCUAAUCCUGGUCGGACAUCAGGAGGUUAGUGCAAUGGCAUAAGCCAGCUUGACUGCGAGCGUGACGGCGCGAGCAGGUGCGAAAGCAGGUCAUAGUGAUCCGGUGGUUCUGAAUGGAAGGGCCAUCGCUCAACGGAUAAAAGGUACUCCGGGGAUAACAGGCUGAUACCGCCCAAGAGUUCAUAUCGACGGCGGUGUUUGGCACCUCGAUGUCGGCUCAUCACAUCCUGGGGCUGAAGUAGGUCCCAAGGGUAUGGCUGUUCGCCAUUUAAAGUGGUACGCGAGCUGGGUUUAGAACGUCGUGAGACAGUUCGGUCCCUAUCUGCCGUGGGCGCUGGAGAACUGAGGGGGGCUGCUCCUAGUACGAGAGGACCGGAGUGGACGCAUCACUGGUGUUCGGGUUGUCAUGCCAAUGGCACUGCCCGGUAGCUAAAUGCGGAAGAGAUAAGUGCUGAAAGCAUCUAAGCACGAAACUUGCCCCGAGAUGAGUUCUCCCUGACUCCUUGAGAGUCCUGAAGGAACGUUGAAGACGACGACGUUGAUAGGCCGGGUGUGUAAGCGCAGCGAUGCGUUGAGCUAACCGGUACUAAUGAACCGUGAGGCUUAACCUU
rnacentral:rRNA from 1 species